AGUGAACGCUGGCGGUAGGCCUAACACAUGCAAGUCGAACGGCAGCACAGUAAGAGCUUGCUCUUACGGGUGGCGAGUGGCGGACGGGUGAGGAAUACAUCGGAAUCUACUUUUUCGUGGGGGAUAACGUAGGGAAACUUACGCUAAUACCGCAUACGACCUACGGGUGAAAGCAGGGGAUCUUCGGACCUUGCGCGAUUGAAUGAGCCGAUGUCGGAUUAGCUAGUUGGCGGGGUAAAGGCCCACCAAGGCGACGAUCCGUAGCUGGUCUGAGAGGAUGAUCAGCCACACUGGAACUGAGACACGGUCCAGACUCCUACGGGAGGCAGCAGUGGGGAAUAUUGGACAAUGGGCGCAAGCCUGAUCCAGCCAUACCGCGUGGGUGAAGAAGGCCUUCGGGUUGUAAAGCCCUUUUGUUGGGAAAGAGAAGCAGCAGGUUAAUACCCCGCUGUUCUGACGGUACCCAAAGAGUAAGCACCGGCUAACUUCGUG
rnacentral:rRNA from 1 species